CCUGCCUCAAAGAGGGGGAUAGCCUUCCGAAAGGAAGAUUAAUACCGCAUAACAUACAGAGAUCACAUGUUCUCUGUAUCAAAGGAGCAAUCCGCUUUGAGAUGGACUCGCGGCGCAUUAGCUAGUUGGUAGGGUAACGGCCUACCAAGGCGACGAUGCGUAGCCGACCUGAGAGGGUGAUCGGCCACAUUGGGACUGAGACACGGCCCAGACUCCUACGGGAGGCAGCAGUGGGGAAUAUUGCGCAAUGGGCGAAAGCCUGACGCAGCAACGCCGCGUGGGUGAUGACGGUCUUCGGAUUGUAAAACCCUGUCUUCAGGGACGAUAAUGACGGUACCUGAGGAGGAAGCCACGGCUAACUACGUGCCAGCAGCCGCGGUAAUACGUAGGUGGCAAGCGUUGUCCGGAUUUACUGGGCGUAAAGGGUGCGUANGCGGACAA
rnacentral:rRNA from 1 species